CGGGAACGAGGAGUUAUGAACAGUGGAAAAAAAACGAAGAAAUACAAAGGAGACACAAGCGAAAGAAGGCGACGACACCCGAAAAUGAACGACGAACAAGAGGGUGAACUACGGACACCGAUAAACAAAGGACCAACGAACGAACGGACGGAAAUAGACGAAGAUGAACGAGCGGAAAAACGAAGACGUUUCUGAGAGACAAGAGAUUGGAAUGAACGAGAGGGUUAAAGAGAGGGAGGAAAAUAACGUUUAAGAAUACCGAAAGCGAAGGGAGAGAAAAC